rnacentral:rRNA from 1 species
GUGGGGAAUAUUGGACAAUGGGCGCAAGCCUGAUCCAGCCAUACCGCGUGGGUGAAGAAGGCCUUCGGGUUGUAAAGCCCUUUUGUUGGGAAAGAAAUCCUGUCGGUUAAUACCUGGCGGGGAUGACGGUACCCAAAGAAUAAGCACCGGCUAACUUCGUGCCAGCAGCCGCGGUAAUACGAAGGGUGCAAGCGUUACUCGGAAUUACUGGGCGUAAAGCGUGCGUAGGUGGUGGUUUAAGUCCGUCGUGAAAGCCCUGGGCUCAACCUGGGAAUUGCAGUGGAUACUGGAUCACUAGAGUGUGGUAGAGGGAUGCGGAAUUUCUGGUGUAGCAGUGAAAUGCGUAGAGAUCAGAAGGAACAUCCGUGGCGAAGGCGGCAUCCUGGGCCAACACUGACACUGAGGCACGAAAGCGUGGGGAGCAAACAGGAUUAGAAACCCGGGUAGUCC